GCGCCAGCUGGGAUUCCGGGCUUUUGACAGAAUCCAACGUGUAUAAAGUAAAGCGUGGAUUAAAUUUAUGUAGUUAAAUUAAGAAUUUCAUUAUAAUAAAAAGUCAAUGAAUUAAAAGUUUUAGUGUGUUUAUUUUACAACUUAAGAAUAUAUUAUACGUGAUAUUUAAAAAAUUACUUUAUUAGCACAAUAAUACAAAAUAAAUAAAAUGAAUAGUUCAGUGUUAUUAACUCUUUCUAUUGUUAUUGGAUUAAUAUAUACUGUCAUAGCUUUGAAAAAUGAUGAAUGUGAAGUAUGUAUAAAUACUGUGGAAAGGUUUGUCAAUACUUUAAGUGAAGAUGUGAAAAUAGAUACAAAAAAAAUAGAAGCAGCAUUUAAAGAAUUUUGUAAAGGUACUAAAUCUAAGGAAAAUAGAUUUUGUUAUUAUUUAGGUGGAUUAGAAGAAUCUGCUACAGGUAUUUUAAGUGAAUUGAGUAAACCUAUAUCUUGGUCCAUGCCUGCAAAUAAAAUAUGUGAAAAAUUGAAAAAAAAAGAUUCUCAAAUAUGUGAUUUGAGAUAUGAAAAACAAAUUGAUAUUAAUACUGUUGAUUUGAAAAAACUUAAAGUACGUGAUUUAAGGAAGAUUUUAAGUGACUGGGAUGAAACAUGUGAUGGUUGCAUAGAAAAAACGGAUUUUAUAAAACGAAUUGAAGAACUAAAACCUAAAUAUUCUCAUAGUGCAAAAUCAGAACUCUGAAAAAUGUUCAAAAAUAUAGAUAAAUUAUUACGUUAGUAUGGCUAAGCUUUCAGGACACACAUAUGUCAAUUGAUCUUGAUACAAAUAAGAACGACCACGAAUUGUUGCACCAAAUGGGAGUUUUGGUUUGUUACAUGAAAGUUCUAUAAAUAUUAACAAAUAAAAAAAAAAAAAAUAAUAUAUAUAAUAUUAUAUGCUAAUACUAACUUGAACAUCUGCUAUAUAUUCUAGACCAUUUUCCAUUUGCAAGACAUUUCACAUUAGAUUGACCAAACAUUAAAUAUCCAGGUAAACAUUUAUAUGUAAUUAUAUUACCAAAAGUAAAAUUUUUUAUUUUAAUAUUAUCUUCUAUUAACACUGCAUUUGCAAUUUUCGGAGGUUUACCACAUAUUACAGCUAAAAUAAAUAUUUGUUUAUUGAUUAAUAAUAAUUCUUAAAAAUAAUUAUUUUGCAAUAAAAUUAGAAUAAUUUACGUUUACAAAAAGGAGUAGAAGACCAUGUAUUAUUUGGAAAGCAAAUUGAUUUUUCAUUGCCUUCAAGAAUAUAGCCUUGAUGACAUUUGAAUGUAAUUGUACUAUUAACAGUUCUUGUAUAAUUUGUCUCAACUAUAUAACUAUAUUCUGGAAUCUAAUAAUAAGUUAAUAUUAAUUUUAUGAUUCAAAUUUAUUUAAAUUCAGAAAAUAAUUGCAUUACUUACUGUAACUAAAGCACACAUAAAUGUUUGACAAAUAUUAUCUAUUCCAUUAUUAAAUAAAAUUUUAAUAAUAGUAUCAUUUAAUUCUGUAUCAAUGAUUUGCCAUUUAGCAUGUUCAUUACAAAUCCAAGUUAAAUUAGAAAUAGAGUUGUGAAUAUUUUUAUUAUUAAAUUUAAUUUUUCCAUUGUUAUUACAACUAAGAACAAUUUUUUUCAUAUAAGUAUGGCCCUCCACAAAGACCUCGAAGUUUUCAUGAGUAUCAUUAUAUAAUUUUUUAUUUUGGCCAUUUUUCCAAAUAGUAUGAUUAUUUGAAUCUAUUUCUUUAUUGAGCAUUUGAAAAAGUGGAUGAUUUAAAAAUGGACAUUCUUGAAGUUCACAAUACGAUAACGUAGAUGACCAUUCUUCAUUAUCUGUGCAAAUUUUAGAUCUAUUACCGAUUAAUUUAUAUCCUACAUCACAUUUUAUUAAUAUUUCAGAACCAAUGACAAAUUGUUUUAUCAAAUUUCGGUUUUCUUUAAUAUCAUCUUCUAAUGAUAUUUCUGCAUUCGUAUUAGUAGAUACUGUUUUUCUUUCUAAAAGUUCAAUAGUUUCGUUAUUUCGUGCUCUAAAUAAUAAUUUACCAUUAUUCAUAUUCUUGGGCCAAGGACAAUUUAAAGGCACACAAUCAGGAACAAAUCCAAUCCAUGUACCAUUUUCUGAACAUUGAAGUUUAAAUUCAUUUAACAAAUUAUGAUUAUCCUGAAAUUUAUAUCCAUGAUGGCAAGAAUAACUAACGAUAUCAUUAAAAUCAUAAUUUUUCUUGAAUGUAUCAUUUAUCGACUGUAAAUUAAGUUUUGUAAUAAAAGUUUCAUGUAGAUUAAUCGAA